rnacentral:rRNA from 1 species
UACGGAGGGUGCAAGCAUUAAUCGGAUUUAUUGGGCGUAAAGGGCGCGUAGGCGGAGAUAAUAGUCAGAUGUGAAAUCCUGGGGCUCAACCUCAGAACUGCAUUUGAAACUGUAUCUCUAGAGGAUAGGCGGAGAAAACGGAAUUCCACAAGUAGCGGUGAAAUGCGUAGAUAUGUGGAAGAACACCGGUGGCGAAGGCGGUUUUCUAGCUUAUUCCUGACGCUGAGGCGCGAAAGCAAGGGGAUCAAACAGG